AAGUUUAUCUAAUGAUAGAUUAUUUGUUCGAAGACUUCAAAUUGGUUGUAAGUCUCUUUCUAUAUAUAUGCGUUCAACAGUAGGCGCGUGUAUUUUCUGUUCUUGUCAGUAUAAACAAGAAAUUGUGGAACUUCAAGAACUCGAUCAAGAAACUGUCAUGGCUGGAGUAGGAGGAAUGAUGCAGGGAGCGUUGCCGGUGUUUGAUGGAAGUCGUUCGAUGACCGGCGCAUCAAGAUGCAAGCCAUCUUUGGCUUCCAAGAUGUUGCAGAUGUUGUGCUUGAUGGAUUGCCUGAAUUGGGAGCAAAGGCAACAGACGAAGAGAAGAGAAAUUACAAAGCCCAGCAGAAAUUUGACAGCAUAGUUCUUGUGUUGGGGCUUAUAGGAACAAUCUUAGGGUGGAACGUUCGAGUUGUGAUGAUCAGGAUAUUGUUUUUGACAUAUUAAUGGAGACUCUUAAUCAAUCAGAGCCUACAGGACUAAGAAGGAUGCUUUCUCCAACGCCCGGAAGUUUCCAAGACCGUGAAGACCUUAUUAAACAUGUUCGUGACUUUGGUGCUAAUCAAGGAUAUGUUGUGACCAUCAAGAAGUCCAGAAAGGAUAGAAGAGUCAUCCUUGGCUGUGACAGAGGGGGUGUCUAUCGUAAUAGGCAGAAAAUUGAUGAAAGUAAGCGCAAAAGGAAAGCAACUUCACAGCUUAUAAACUGUCCUUUUGAAGCCAUUGGUAAAAAGGAGGAAGAAGCAUGGGUACUUACCAUAAAAAAUGGAGAUCACAACCAUGAACCAUUGAAAGACAUUUCAGAACAUCCUUAUAGUCGACGUUUCACUGAGGAAGAAGUGAGACAAAUCAAACAAAUGACCAAAGCUGGUAUAAAACCUCGUCAAGUGCUUAAAGCUCUCGAGCAAAGUAAUCCAGAUAUGCAAUCAACACCAAGACAUUUGUACAACCUCAAAGCAAAGAUUCGUCAGGGAAAUCUAUCAGGUAAAUUUGUUGGUCAAUGUACUGUCAGUUUCAUUCCCUUGUAAUGAUAAGGCUUUUAAUGCGCCUGCUGACUUGCUAAAGACUGUCGUGCGGACUAUGAACACAGCUCCUAUGAGCAUGGACUUUCAUGCAGUUCAACAAACACGGCUUCUGGAUAUGCUACUCUUUUAAGGCCUUUUGUUAGUGUUGACUUAUUAGUUACAUGUAUUAACUAUUCAUGCUCUAAAUUGACUGAAUUUGGUUUUCUUGUUUCAACGUCUCAAUUGCCACGAAUGGGGGGACAUUGCUUUGUGGGAAGUGGGCUCUAGGGAGCGGUUGCUCAUGAGGAACUUUAAAGUGUGGGAUCUUAGUGCAUGUACAAUGCCCUUUCAGGUUGCAUUAAAGAUCCAGGCGUUUGUGUCCACUAUGUGAUUUGGAGUCCUAAUGGGUUUAUAUGGAAUUGCUUACUCAAGUGUGGGAAAAGUUGCAGACUUCGGUGGCUCAAUUAUCUUAGAACUGAUAUCAAGAGAGGCAAUUUUAAUGGUAUAGUAAGAUUAACUCUCAUCUUAUGCAAUGGUGGGGAUGAUGUUCUAUAGCAUUUGGAGGAAUGAAAGUCUAUACUACUGAUGAAAAGGAGUUGAUCAUGGAAAGUGGGCUGGGAAUCCUAAUAUCACUGUUGCAACUAAAGCAUUUGGGCUUCGAGCCACGGUGCAGGUUGUUGAUCUGCAAGUAUUUGUUUCUCCACGUAUAACUCUGAAGCCUCUGGUUCCAAGGUUUCCAUGUUUUGCCAAUAUUUACGUGUCUCUCAUGGAGAAGAAAAUCAGCCGUCACCUUCCCUUUGCACCUAAAACAAAGCUCUGCUAGGGUUUAGUUUCCGCUCGUUUGUACUAGCUCAAGAGUUCGCUCCAUCUCACUCCCCUUGGCAUAGCCUUCUUCUCGUUGUUGUACCAUCUUCAAGUCAGGUAACAUCGACUACAUGUGUCAAUUCUUUUCAACCAGGUGCCUUUUUCUUUUCUUUUCUUUUUUGUAAUUUUACAUUAUAUUGGAAAUUUGUCCUGUUUGAUUACCAUAGGCUUUUAGGGAUUGAACUUGGUUACCAAUUUGGUAUCCCUGAAAUGUUUUUUUUAUUCAGAGUGCAAAUUUAUAUGCUUAAUAUUUGA